UGACGUAGGCAGCGAGCGUUGUUCGGAAUUACUGGGCGUAAAGAGUGUGUAGGCGGUGCUCUAAGUUCGGUGUGAAAUCUCCGUGGCUCAACUGGGAGGGUGCGCCGGAAACUGGAGUGCUUGAGCGUGGGAGAGGAAAGCGGAAUUCCUGGAUGUAGCGGUGAAAUGCGUAGAUAUCAGGAGGAACACCGAUGGCGAAGGCAGAUCUCUGGGCCGUAACUGACGCUGAGGAGCGAAAGCGUGGGGAGCGAACAGG
rnacentral:rRNA from 1 species